rnacentral:rRNA from 1 species
UACGUAGGCAGCAAGCGUUGUUCGGAGUUACUGGGCGUAAAGGGUGCGUAGGUGGCUCUAUAAGUAUGGUGUGAAAUCUCCCGGCUUAACUGGGAGGGUGCGCCGUAGACUGUGGGGCUAGAGUGUGGGAUAGGAAAGUGGAAUUCCUGGUGUAGCGGUGAAAUGCGUAGAUAUCAGGAGGAACACCGGUGGUGUAAACGGCUUUCUGGACCAUAACUGACACUGAGGCACGAAAGCGUGGGUAGCAAACAGG